UACAGAGGGUGCGAGCGUUAAUCGGAAUUACUGGGCGUAAAGCGCGCGUAGGCGGCUUUGCAAGUCGAUUGUGAAAUCCCCAGGCUUAGCCUGGGAACUGCAUUCGAGACUGCAUAGCUAGAGUAUGGGAGAGGGAAGUGGAAUUUCAGGUGUAGCGGUGAAAUGCGUAGAUAUCUGAAGGAACAUCAGUGGCGAAAGCGACUUCCUGGACCAAUACUGACGCUCAUGUGCGAAAGCGUGGGGAGCAAACAGG
rnacentral:rRNA from 1 species